ACACAAAUGUGAAUAUAGAAAAGAUAAAGGCCAAAUUCGUAAUAACGUAAAAUCCCCUGGGCGAUCCCGCUUUCUUAUAAAUGACCUACGCAAAAGAUACUCUUAUUUUUCAACAAACGUAUGUGAUAUUUUCGUCUUGUUUCGAUGCUCUGCGUUUGCUCCGUCACUCGCCCCACCGUGUGUGCUUCGUGCUGCUGUCAAUGUAUUAGAGUUUAGGAAGCCUCGUCGUUUUAUGUAAAGUUGUUUUUUUUCAUACGUUUCAUUUUUCGUUUUAUUGUUACGAUGGAAACUGCAACUAUAAAGUCACGGCCCUUGCACAACUUAAACCGCCGCCGUUCACCUGAAUACGAUUCCGGCUACAACAGUUUGCGUCCGGAACGUGUUGGAUCACGCUCUACCCGCAUUCACCGCUUAAGCUUUUGUCCUCCACUGAUACCCAUUAAACUAGCUCACGGAGAAAAAGAAGCAAAGCAAAAGCAAAGAGCAGAAGAGUCGUUAGAGCCGCAAAAAAAUAAGCCCGACGAAGAAGGGGAGGAGGUUGCAGUACAGCGACCUUGGAAUUUGAGGCCGAGGAAGAUGGUGAUGGAGGAGACGUCUGCGGCGGCAGCGACAACGGUGCCGCCAGAAAAGACUACUGAAACAGCGGCCCCGAAGUCAACUAGAUCAAGGGUUUUGGCUGAAAAUGGAGGGGUUGUAGAAAAGAAAGAGAAAAGAAAGUUUCGUAUAGCUUUAUCGAAGGAUGAAAUUGAAGAAGAUAUCUUUGCCUUGACAGGAGCAAGGCCCGCUAGAAGGCCCAAAAAAAGGCCCAAGAACAUUGAGAAACAGCUUGAUAAUGUUUUUCCUGGGUUAUGGCUAGUUGGCUUGACGCCUGAAGCUUACCGUAUCGUUGAUGCUGCUCCUAAUAAGAAAUAGACCUGCUUUUAGAUCCUUAAAACAUUACCAGAUACAAAGGGGAUGAUAAUGGUGUUGAGGAAUUUGGAAAUUUAGGAGCUUUGCAGGUUAUGCCCCAUUGAGACCUCAAAAUGUUUUUUUGAGGCAUGAUGAAAAUAUGUAAAGAAAAGUGGGAAUUAUGAAAAAAUAUUUAUUUUAUUCUCAUAAGUUAUAGGCGAUAAGAUUAUAAAUUGCUGUUUAGACUGGUAAGGGUUCUUCAUUUCAGCUUGCUGAAACAGUUACAAUUAUGGUAAAAAAAGAUUUGUUUUGGUUACAAAUUUUCUAAUGUGUUGAUUGCUUAUAAUGGUUGGCAGAGUUCCCAAAUGCUAAUACUUGAUUUAUUUGGUGAAGGCACUGCCAUUCUUCCUUCACCUGGAAGGAAGAGUUAUUUCUCUGUUCAUUUGAGCUUCCAUCAAGAGGAGCACUUGAUAAGUGUGCAAAUGUUGAAUACAGGUGUAUUUCCAUGUUGAAGGGAGGGGUCCCAAUCGACUCCAAAUUAGCCAACUAUAUCUUUAAUUUAAUCUAAUGCUUACUAGUUUCUAUGUCAAAUGCAUUAAUUAAGGUUAUCAUUUGUGAUUUGAAUACCAUUUUGUGGGUUGAAUUU